ACUUAGCGGCGAAUGGGUGAGUAACACGUACUUAACGUACCUUCUAGAUUGGGAUAACGCUGAGAAAUUAGCGCUAAUACCGGAUACUUAUAAGAAACGCAUGUUUCUUAUAUAAAAGGAGCCYUCAAGCUCCACUAGAAGAUCGGGGUGCGGAACAUUAGCUAGUUGGUAAGGUAAUGGCUUACCAAGGCUAUGAUGUUUAACGGGGUUGAGAGACUGAUCCGUCACACUGGGACUGAGAUACGGCCCAGACUCCUACGGGAGGCAGCAGUAGGGAAUUUUCCACAAUGGGCGAAAGCCUGAUGGAGCGACACAGCGUGCAGGAUGAAGGCCUUCGGGUUGUAAACUGCUGUUAUUUAGGAUGAAAAAAUAGUAGAGGAAAUGCUAUUAUCUUGACAGUACUAAAUCAGAAAGCAACGGCUAACUAUGUGCCAGCAGCCGCGGUAAUACAUAGGUUGCAAGCGUUAUCCGGAAUUAUUGGGCGUAAAGCGUCUGUAGGUUGUUAGUUAAGUCUGGCGUCAAAACUUGGGGCUCAACCCCAAAUCGCGUUGGAUACUGGCUAACUAGAAUUGUGUAGAGGUUAACGGAAUUCCUUGUGAAGCGGUGAAAUGCGUAGAUAUAAGGAAGAACAUCAACUUGGCGAAGGCAGUUAACUGGGCACAUAUUGACACUGAGAGACGAAAGCGUGGGGAGCAAACAGGAUUAGAUACCCUGGUAGUCCACGCCGUAAACGAUGAUGAUUAGCUGAUGGGRACCAUCGGCGCAGCUAACGCAUUAAAUCAUCCGCCUGAGUAGUAUGCUCGCAAGAGUGAAACUUAAAGGAAUUGACGGGGAUCCGCACAAGCGGUGGAGCAUGUGGUUUAAUUUGAAGAUACGCGUAGAACCUUACCCACUCUUGACAUCUUCUGCAAAGCUAUA
rnacentral:rRNA from 1 species